CUCUAACUGAUGGAACCCCUUUCAUAAGUAAAAAAUGUGCCAUCUUUGAAAACCUAUCAACCACAACCAUGAUGCAAGAAUAGCCAUUAGGAAGAUCAAGAAUAAAAUCAAUAGAGAUAUGUGACCAAGGCAUUUCACCGGAUCGAACAUUUUUUUCCCUUUCCAAAAACAUUACAUUAUGUUUCAAGUUUAAAUUAUCUAUCUGGAUCAUUUUCUGCUGUAAUAGUGGAGCAUUGCAAUCCAGGAUAUGGAAAAAUCAGAAAGAACUGUCAAGAAUGUUGCAAUCGUCUUGAGAAAGGCUCAUGUGUGGAGCCGAAACCUCGACUUAUGUGAUUUUGUAUUGAUAAUAAAAAGUUGAAACACAAUCAA